UACGUAGGGGGCUAGCGUUGUCCGGAAUCAUUGGGCGUAAAGAGCGUGUAGGCGGUCCGGUAAGUCCGCUGUGAAAGUCGGGGGGCUCAACCCUCGAAUGCCGGUGGAUACUGUCGGGCUAGAGUGCGGAAGAGGCGAGUGGAAUUCCUGGUGUAGCGGUGAAAUGCGCAGAUAUCAGGAGGAACACCGAUGGCGAAGGCAGGUCUCUGGGCCAUAACUGACGCUGAGAAGCGAAAAGCAUGGGGGAGCGAACAGG
rnacentral:rRNA from 1 species